AGGACGAACGCUGGCGGCGUGCUUAACACAUGCAAGUCGAGCGGAAAGGCCCUUCGGGGUACUCGAGCGGCGAACGGGUGAGUAACACGUGAGUAAUCUGCCCCUAGCUCUGGGAUAGCUCCGGGAAACCGGGAUUAAUACCAGAUACGACCACUUUAGACAUCUUCUGUGGUGGAAAGAACUUCGGCUAGGGAUGAACUCGCGGCCUAUCAGCUUGUUGGUGAGGUAACGGCUCACCAAGGCGACGACGGGUAGCCGGCCUGAGAGGGCGACCGGCCACACUGGGACUGAGACACGGCCCAGACUCCUACGGGAGGCAGCAGUGGGGAAUAUUGCGCAAUGGGCGAAAGCCUGACGCAGCGACGCCGCGUGGGGAUGAAGGCCUUCGGGUUGUAACCACUGUCGAAGGGAGAUAUUGACGGUACCUUGGAGGAGCCCGGCUAACUACGCGCCAGCAGCCGC
rnacentral:rRNA from 1 species